GGAAGGACGGUAGCUCAGUGGGAGCGCAUCUGUGCCUUGAAAGCAGAAGCUCCUGAGUUCACUCCUCAGCACCUCCU